CUCCUCUCCCUCUGCCUUUCCCUGCAGGUGCGGCCGCGCCGUCGAGGCCAGGGGCGCCGCGGGAGCAGCGAGAGCCGCAGGCAGAUUCCUCUGGACAAAUUUCUUCUGCAAGUCCUUUCAAAGGAGAUCUACCAGUGAAAUGUCCACAAUAACAGAUUGAAAAGGAUGAUAAAAUAAAAUGGCAAGGACUGUGUGGAACCAAACAGCAACUACUUGCUGUCUUCUUGUAGAAAACCCUUGCACUGCUCAAGCAUCUCUACGCUAUUGCUCCCUUUUCUUCAUGCCCCCCAAGAGAGCAUGGCACAGCCCCUGUUCUGGGACAGAAGGACGGACAUCUAAGGGACAUGAGCAUUUCUUCUCAGGCAGAGGAGGGAAACCAGAACUCCUGGGUGAGUGCUAAAUAGUGCACGGUCUUGGAGGGUUACCAUGAGCCUUGCAAGGAGAUGGAGUAGAUGCCUAAGGAAAAGCUGAGGAUCUGGAAUUCCAUACAAGCUUAGCCAUGAUCCAUAUGAUGGAGCAAUGUAGCCAAGCUGUGGGCUGACCGAGGUUUGCAUCACUGCCCUGACCCAGAUUGCAUCUGCAGUCAUCUGGAACUGACUACACGCCUGAACUGAUAAAAGAGGCUGUGGAAAUAUGGAUCUCUGGGGCCUUGGCAAGAUGCUUAUGCCAUAUUCACCUGUCCUCUGGAAGACAAAAGAGUGAGGAUCAGCAGUGUCAUUUAUUCUGCAAAAACUGAACAGAUGAGAACUGCUGUGACAGCCAAUAGACAAAAUUAAAAAUUAAGGAAAGGCUGGUAUGGAACAAGAGGAAAAUUAUCCCAGCAUUUUGCAUUUUUUGUAAUCAAAGUCCUGUCUUUGGAGGGUGUUGUCAACUACACACUUGGUGAAGCCUAUAAGGAUUUUCCGUGUGUAAUACCUGCAGGAGUUAGGCCUAGCCUAUCACACUAUUCUAAAAGUGAUGUCCAGUAAGCAAUAGGUGGGCUCUCUUGGGAAAAAUGCAGGAAGAAAACUUGGUGAGAGCUGGAUCCUCUGCAGUGUCACCUCUCAUGAGGGAUUGACAAAAGAAAAAAAAAAAAAGGUGAAUUAAUUCACCAUGGGGAUGGAAGGAUGGAUGCUUCCUGUUUUUUUCAUUGCAAAGUGUAUGAUGGUUUCAUGCCUUUAAUUGACAUCAGUGCAGUGUUGUUCAAUCCAAUGAAAUUUGAAUCCCACAAUGAAUUUCUUUUCCACAAGUAGAUUAUGAACAGAAGGGUUUGAUUUUUAUCAAUUAUGUAUUUUUGAGUGAAAAGCUAUUUUGUGUAUAUGUAUUUAACAGCAGGAAAUAUAGCAAAUGUUUAUUUUUAUUAAACUAAUAAAAAGGAUAAACCUA